CGUACUCAGUUCGGAUUGUAGUCUGCAACUCGACUACAUGAAGCUGGAAUCGCUAGUAAUCGCAAAUCAGAAUGUUGCGGUGAAUACGUUCCCGGGUCUUGUACACACCGCCCGUCACACCAUGAGAGUUGGCAAUACCCAACGUACGUGAUCUAACCCGCAAGGGAGGAAGCGUCCUAAGGUAGGGUCAGCGAUUGGGGUGAAGUCGUAACAAGGUAUC
rnacentral:rRNA from 1 species